GGUAGUUCAGUUGGUUAGAAUACCGGCCUGUCACGCCGGGGGUCGCGGGUUCGAGUCCCGUCCGCUCCGCCA
rnacentral:tRNA from 4 species